GGUGAUGUAGCCAAGUGGUUAAGGCAACGGUCUGCAAAACCGUGAUCGCGGGUUCGACUCUCGUCAUCACCU
rnacentral:tRNA from 1 species